CCUACGGGAGGCAGCAGUGGGGAAUAUUGGACAAUGGGCGAAAGCCUGAUCCAGCAAUUCCGCGUGUGUGAAGAAGGCCUUCGGGUUGUAAAGCACUUUAGGUUGGGAAGAAAAAGCUUCGGUGAAUAUCCGGAGUGUUGACGGUACCAACAGAAUAAGCACCGGCUAACUCUGUGCCAGCAGCCGCGGUAAUACAGAGGGUGCAAGCGUUAAUCGGAUUUACUGGGCGUAAAGCGUGCGCAGGUGGUUUCGUAAGUCGGAUGUGAAAGCCCCGGGCUCAACCUGGGAACUGCGUUCGAUACUGCGAGACUAGAGUUUGGUAGAGGGUGGCGGAAUUCCCGGUGUAGCGGUGAAAUGCGUAGAUAUCGGGAGGAACAUCAAUGGCGAAGGCAGCCACCUGGGCCUGAACUGACACUGAGGCACGAAAGCGUGGGUAGCAAACAGGAUUAGAUGCCCUGGUAGUCCACGCCGUAAACGAUGAGAACUUGACGUUGGUUCGUUUUACGAAUCGGUGUCGUAGCUAACGCGAUAAGUUCUCCGCCNGGGGAAGUCGGCCGCAAGGUUGAACUCAAAUGAAUUGCCGG
rnacentral:rRNA from 1 species